AGGAUGGAACCCAGGUCUCCUGCAUCUCCUGCAUUGGCAGGCUGAAUCUUUACCACUUGAGCUACCUGGGAAGCCCCCCUGUUUUCUCUUAAAAGGACGCUAAUCCGAUAUGAUCAGGGCUUCACCUGUGUGACUUCAUUUAACCCCAAUUACUUCCUUUCUCCAAACAGUCACACUGGAGGGUUAGGGCUUCAGUGUAUGAUUUGGGGAGGAGGGUGCAGCCGGGUGGGGAUACACAUGCAUUCAGUCCAUCAUGUAUAGAAUAGUCUGAGAAGGCAUCUCUGAUAAGAUGGGGCAGCCAGCUUUCAAGACGGCCCUUGGUGAGCCUCACCUCCCUGGUGUCUAUACCCUUGUGUAGACACAAUAAAUCAGGGAUAGCCCCUUGGCCUGUAAUAAAAGCUGUUACCCUCAUCAUCAUUAUUAUUAAUGCCACUGUUUUCUCUCCCUCUGCAGUAACACAGAUGCCCCAUCAAUCUCACUUCCAUCUGGGCUUGCUUAACCCUUUAGCCUGAGUUUGCUUGGAAGCAUGACCAUGCUGACAGCUGAGAUUUUAAAAAACCUGGAGCAACAGGAAACCCACACAUUUUGGUUUUGGGGGUGACUCCCUCUGGGGCAAGCCACGCUUCAAGUCAGGAGGACACUGAAGUAGCCUUGGGAGAGGACCAUGUGGAGAGGAAUUCAGAACCCCCUCCAGGCUCUGAUCUGUCAGAUGUGUGAAUAAACCACCACGGGAGAGGAACCUCCAGCCCCAGUCAAGCCUUCAGAUGACUAGCCCCAGCUCAAAGCUGCACUCCAGUCUCAUGGGAAACCCUUAGCCAGAGCCACACAGCCAUUCCGGCCCUGACUUUCUAAUCCACAGAAAAGGCUAGAUCAUGAAGGUGGAAGAGAGCCAGCAUCAGCCAUAAGGACAUUCAAGGAGAUUACAGGGCAAUGAGAUGGAAGGCAUCAAGGUCUCUGAAUGUCUUUGUGAAGCAAAACCACCCUACCUGCAAAAGUACCCUUCAUUCUUCUUUGGGUUUCAGAGGCUGUGUCCUUCCUUCACUGCCUAAAGUACAGCCUUAAAUCCUAACACAGCCUCGGAGGAGCAGUAUGGCCUUGGGCAAGCUUCUUACCUUCUCAGAAUCUAGUCUGCAAGAGAGUAGUUGGAAGGAUUUGUCAAAAGGAGCGAGUACAGGACAUCUUUAUGAUCCAGGGAUCAAACCUGCGUUUCCUGCCUUGGCAGCCGGAUUCUUUACCACUGAGACACCAGGGAAAACUCCUCGGCCUCUAUCUGAGGAUAUAUUCGGGGCCAUACACGGUGAGUGUCACCUCCCAAAUUGCGUCUCCCUGAUGACAAUGUGCCAGUGACACAGGAUGGAGCCCAAGCCCUCUUCCACACACCUGCUUGUCCAGUGCAUUUGGUGAGAGGCAGAGUGGCCUAUGAGUAGCCGACUCCCAGCAUCCUGGUGCCCAAGAAUCAGCUCCAGAUCCUUCUCCACCAGUUUGCCCCCAGGAUCCACAAGCAAACUGACUCUGGCAUUUGGAGUUCUCUCUUUGGAGCCCUCAGGCUUAAAAGUCACUCUUGUGAAAGCCCUAAAGUGAAAGCCGCUCAGUCAUGUCUGACUCUUUGCAACCCCAUGGACUGUCCACGGAAUUCUCCAGGCCACAAUAAAUACUGGAGUGGGUAGCCUUCCCCUUCUCCAGGGGACCUUCCCAACCCAGGGAUCGAACCCAGGUCUCCCACAUUGCAGGCGGAUUCUUUACCAGCUGAGCCACAAGAGAAGCCCAAAAGCUCCAAAGCCCAGCUAUAUUGUGGUGCAGUCAUGCAUCCAUUAAAACAACAAUCCAGCAACCAAAAAGUAAUUUUUAAUUAGCAUUUUACUGCAGUUUCUCUCAAAGAACACCAAAGAGAAAAUACAGAAGAACUUGUUAGAAAUUCUCUUUUCCUUUUCUUUCAUUUCCAAUUAUUCCCCAAACCCUGCUGCUGUCCCAAAGACUCUCAGCCUUCUCUCUAAAGCAAGACAUACACACAUGCACACACUUGCACACAGCCUACCAGAGGUACACCAGAGCUGGCUUGCCUCAGCUUGAAAGAGCCAGUUGUUCAAUUUUCAGGAAUUUUGCCAGUCAGUUGUUCAAUGCGGCCAUUAUUAAAAAUUAAAUUAUAGACACUUACAACAAUAAAUUAUACACCAAAGUGAUAAAUAUGCAAUACUCAGAGGAAGAAAGGAAUGAACAUGGAACAACAUGAGUGAAUCUCAAAAUAGUUACACCGAAGCCAGGCAAAGCAAGAGUGCAGACGGAAUGAUUCCAUGUAUAGAAAAAAAUCACCCUUGUAGUGACAGAAAGCCAGAUGAGCGGGCAUCUGAGGGUGGGGCUGGGAGGCAGGGGAAGGGACAGCUUAUAAAGAGACAUGAGGGGA